AUUGAACGCUGGCGGCAGGCUUAACACAUGCAAGUCGAGCGGAGAUGAGGUGCUUGCACCUUAUCUUAGCGGCGGACGGGUGAGUAAUGCUUAGGAAUCUGCCUAUUAGUGGGGGACAACAUUCCGAAAGGAAUGCUAAUACCGCAUACGUCCUACGGGAGAAAGCAGGGGAUCUUCGGACCUUGCGCUAAUAGAUGAGCCUAAGUCGGAUUAGCUAGUUGGUGGGGUAAAGGCCUACCAAGGCGACGAUCUGUAGCGGGGCUGAGAGGAUGAUCCGACACACUGGGACUGAGACACGGCCCAGACUCCUACGGGAGGCAGCAGUGGGGAAUAUUGGACAAUGGGGGGAACCCUGAUCCAGCCAUGCAGCGUGUGUGAAGACGGCCUUAUGGUUGUAAAGCACUUUAAGCGAGGAGGAGGCUACUGAGACUAAUACUCUUGGAUAGUGGACGUUACUCGCAGAAUAAGCACCGGCUAACUCUGUGCCAGCAGCCGCGGUAAAAC
rnacentral:rRNA from 1 species